rnacentral:tRNA from 1 species
GCCGAAGUGGUGGAAUUUGGUAGACACGCCAUCUUGAGGGGGUGGUGGGCAAUCCCCGUGCGGGUUCGAGUCCCGCCUUCGGCA